AUUUUGGUUUUUUCAGAGCUUUUUGCAGCGAGAGGAGGAAAAUGAAGCUCCGGGGCUGAGGAGCCGCAGCUGGAAUUGAGAGUCGGCAGUGGAGCCGAGCCCGGGCAGGAUCCAUGGCCAGGCCGAGCGAGCUCUGAGUGCGCGGCGGAUUUGGGAUCAAUCCAUGGCAAUGUAUCCUACAAGGGUCUCAGGCGAGGAAUGCAACGGCAUCAACGCCAUGGCGGCCGAGAGCGGCCCCGGCACGCGCCUGCGGAACCUGCCCGUGCUGCCGGACGCGCUCAGACCCCUCAGAUCCCUCAGGGUGGUCCUGAAUCCAAACCCCCCCAGAUCCACCUCGGGUCCCUCAGGGUGAUCCCAACCCCCAAAUCCACCUCAGGCUGGUCCCAAACCCUCUUGGUGCCACCUCAGGGUGGUCCCAACCCCCUCAGAUCCACCUCAG